UACAGAGGUCUCAAGCGUGGUUCGGAUUCAUUGGGCGUAAAGGGCGCGUAGGCGGCGGGGUAAGUCUGGUGUGAAAUCUCGGAGCUCAACUCCGAAAUUGCACUGGAUACUGCUCUGCUUGAGGGUUGGAGAGGAGAUCGGAAUUCACGGUGUAGCAGUGAAAUGCGUAGAUAUCGUGAGGAAGACCAGUGGCGAAGGCGGAUCUCUGGACAAAUCCUGACGCUGAGGCGCGAAGGCUAGGGGAGCAAACGGG
rnacentral:rRNA from 1 species